rnacentral:tRNA from 1 species
UGCAUAAUACAAAAUAUAUUGGAAAUAAUAAAAACAUCUGAACACUAAAAUAUUCAUAUUAGUUUUUAAAUGACUUUUACUAGACGAGGAUAAAGAUAGAGUCCUUUUUUACAAUCUAUAUAUUUUUCUUUAUAGAUAUUGUAAAAAGAAAAUCCGCUGGCUUUAAUAGACCUUGAUGGUUCAAGUCCCUCUACCCCCA